GAGUGCUGUGAAUAAUAGCGCGAAGACAAAUUGUAAUAUUUGAAAUGAUGAGAUAUUACACUUCACUUAUAUUCCAUGUGCAUCUGUGUAACAUGCCAUUACUCGAAAUCAAAGUUUGAAUCUGUCCCUGGCGCCACCAUAGCAACUGCAGGUAAGUUGCAAUGAAAUGUUCGCUGUGUGCUUUUUACAACAUUAGCCAGCGUGCAUGACUGUGUCUGACCGCUGGUUUUAAGGUUAGAAACUAGUCAACGCCAGCUUUUUCUAAUAUAUUGAAUGGGCGGCUGUUUAGGCAACACAUAGACUGUAAAGCGGAUAGUUCAGCUUUUGCCGAGUGGUUAAGGUAUAGCUAAUGGUCAGUAAGUAUCUGCAGGCCUCUGCUCCCACAUCACGCUGCACCGAGACACAGGCAGUAAAUACACUGCUGUCAAUGAGGAACAAUUCAUUUAAGUCCCGUCUUCAAAUACUACUAUACUAACAUGUCGCCAACAUAUGAAAUGACUGACGUGUUUUCUGUUGUUUGCCUGUUAGCUCCGUUAGCCUGUUAGCUCCCUUAACAUGGCUGCUAGAGUCGGUCUGUUUAAAAACAAAAUGAUCCGAUCUCCAGAUUACCUGCAUGCCUGCGUACGUGUGUCUCUGUUGUUAAAGUUUAGCGUUACUUCUCAGAGUUUUAUUUUUACAAUCGGGACUCUGAAGACUCAUGUAAAGAUGACGUGUCGCACGUCUUUUCCGGUCAGUCGUCAUGGAAACAGCGUGCUGAUGUGGACCAGAGUGGAAACAAACAUGUUGUAAAAUGAAAACAAAGUACCACUGUAUCCAAGCUUUAUGUGUGUAAACACCCACUGUUGCUGCACCUAAUUUUUUUAAAAGGAAUUGUGUGUUCAAGUAAAACAUUUUAGAAUUGAUUUUAUAUUAUAUUGGGUAUUGUUAAAACGUCAGUGCUUAAUAAAUGUUUUCAGAAUCUUGUAAUAUUGUUUAUGAAGCAUAUUACAUCUGUGAAUAUGAUCUAUGAAACUAAUUCUAUGAAGAAUGAAUAUUAAUCUAUGCAAUUGCAUUGCCUUUAUUUUAGUGAGGUAAGUACAGUUAUUUCUGCACAACAGACCCUGUCAGACAGACAGACCGCUCUGAUCAGAGGAGCACAGAGAAACUAUGCAAAAUAUUUACCUUAUGUUUAGUUUCUACCUUCAUUAAAGAGCCUCAGACUAAUUGUGAUGUUAGAUAAAUGACUUGUAACUUGUUGGUUGUUAAAGGGAGAGUGGAGGCUCAAUUCCACAUCAUGGUUUAAAACCAAACCUGCAUGAUCAGAACCUUGGACUCGGUGUCACAGCUCUCGUCUCUGCGGCAUCACAAUUCUGGGCCCCCCGGAGUCUUUGUAUGUGGACACUCAGUAUUUGCCCUCUCUUCAGUUCCUCUUGUCUGUUCCCCACAAGCAGGGACUCACUGAUAGACCACUCUGCUUCCAGUUCUGGGGCUGACACACUCUCCCACGUCCCCACACCCAGUGUAUCCUGUACAGAUCAAGGAAGAGUUCAGACGUAUCACGACAGUUUCCUUGGAGGAGACAUUCAUGCUAAAGCUUGAUGAGUACACACCAAGUCUUAUGCAGCUUAUGCGUGCUAAAGGAGGGGCUGCUGGUUCCAAGAUGCACCCUCUGUUGGACACUUUAAAUGACACACAGAGCAUUGAGGGAAAAAAGGGAUGCAGUUGUCUGCUGCCUCAUUAACUACCUUGGUGAAAGACAAGAAGAUCUUUUCCAUGACUGCCAGGAAUGUGAGGACUACACAGACAAAACAAUGAAGGUGAUCGUGAUGCACAACAUCAUGGCUGAGGAGGAUCCAUCAGAUGUGUCGAUUGUGAUUGAGGGAAACCAAGUGAUGGAAGGAUGUGGAAGCCGAACAAAGGCGUGUGUACUGCUGAUGGGACUGAUAUAUGCCCUCAACCUUGACUAUCCAAAGCAGCUCAAGAACACAUUUGAAGCUUUUCAAAAACUUUUUUUGGAACUUGAUGGGGCAAAACUACUGAAGAAGGUCCACCGCCUCAAAAACAAGCUCAUGCAAUAGACAUACAUUUCCCCUCUUGUUCCAAGAGGACCUGUUGUCUGGACAGAGAGUUUUAAUGGAGUAUAGUUUUAUAUUUUUGUUCUCUUCCCUCCUCUGCUCCACACACAGACACAGAAAUAUAUGUACAGAUGGAUACAUAAGUAUGUUGCAGCCUCUCUCAGUUUUUUGUUGUGUAUAAAUACACCUGCAGAUUUCAGAUUUGCUCAGUCACUGUUGUGUGAGGCCGAAUAAACACAAGUAAGAGUUUAGAUACAAGAAAAUCUUCAUGUGAUUGGACAUCCCUUGCACCUCUGCUCUGAUCACCUCACUUCUCCUUUUCUCUGAUCAACUCCUUUCUUAUUGAGCAGUCUGGAUGUUCUAAAGCAGGGAUAUGUUUUAUUGUCCAACAUUACUGAAACAACAGUUGAAGUUGUUAGGUUAUAACGCAGGUUCAUUAUUUGAAAUGUUGUGUGACACUGUUGUGCUGCAGUUUAUUCUGUGUUUUUGAUGACUUUAUGGAUUAAAAACAUUGAGAAGGUGUA